UACAGAGGUCCCGAGCGUUGUUCGGAUUCACUGGGCGUAAAGGGUGCGUAGGUGGUGAGGUAAGUCGGAUGUGAAAUCUCCGGGCUCAACCCGGAAAUGGCAUUGGAAACUACCUUGCUGGAGGAUUUGAGGGGGGAUUGGAAUACUUGGUGUAGCAGUGAAAUGCGUAGAUAUCAAGUGGAACACCAGUGGCGAAGGCGAAUCCCUGGAAAAUACCUGACACUGAGGCACGAAAGCUAAGGGAGCAAACAGG
rnacentral:rRNA from 1 species